UAUUCCUCUAUUUAAGUACUUACCAUCCUGUGGUUGUGACUCACAGAUAUAUAUAUAUAUCUCCCACUAGAAAUGGGUUUUUAUAGGCUAGGACAAGGACACACACACACACUCAUAUCUUGUACAAAGUACAGCUCAUUAAAUAAGUGAACAUCCAGAUAUUUGUGAUUUGUUUUUCCCUUAUAAAGUAUCAAUUUCCGGUAGUUUUAAAAAGGGUAAAUUUGUAGCAAAUUAAUUUUGAGCUGGCUUAUGAGAAAACUCAUGAGUCUGGAAGGAGAUUGUUGACAAAGUAAACUUCACAAAACCCUCUUUGGACAACAAAAUGAAUGCAAAACCCAAACUGCCUAUGGUCCUCUCUGGUUGGGCCAUGUUGCCAUGGCGAUGCUGACAGGUGGAAGGGAGGACACAUUAUGAACAUCAGAUACACCCUGUCAAGAAGAACCUGGCACCUUCUCACACAUGUUC
rnacentral:lncRNA from 1 species